rnacentral:rRNA from 1 species
GAUUAUGGCUCAGGAUGAACGCUAGCGGCAGGCUUAACACAUGCAAGUCGAGGGGCAGCGGGAUGUAGCAAUACAUUGCCGGCGACCGGCGGAUGGGUGCGUAACGCGUAUGCAACCUACCUUAUACAGGGGAAUAACCUUUCGAAAGGGAGACUAACACCCCAUAGUAUUGAUUUAAGGCAUCUUAGAUUAAUUAAAUAUUUAUAGGUAUAAGAUGGGCAUGCGUAUGAUUAGCUAGUUGGUAAGGUAACGGCUUACCAAGGCGACGAUCAUUAGGGGUUCUGAGAGGAAGGUCCCCCCACACUGGUACUGAGACACGGACCAGACUCCUACGGGAGGCAGCAGUGAGGAAUAUUGGUCAAUGGGCGCAAGCCUGAACCAGCCAUGCCGCGUGCAGGAAAAGACGGCCUUAUGGGUUGUAAACUGCUUUUACAUAAGACUAACCGUAUAUUUGCGAAUAUACCUGAAUGUAUUAUGAGAAUAAGGAUCGGCUAACUCCGUGCCAGCAGCCGC